rnacentral:rRNA from 1 species
GAGUUUGAUCUUGGCUCAGAACGAACGCUGGCGGCGUGGAUAAGACAUGCAAGUCGAACGGGAGAAUUGCUAGCUUGCUAAUAAUUCUCUAGCGGCGCACGGGUGAGUAACACGUGAGUAACCUGCCCCGAGAGCGGGAUAGCCCUGGGAAACUGGGAUUAAUACCGCAUAGUAUCGAAAGAUUAAAGCAGCAAUGCGCUUGGGGAUGGGCUCGCGGCCUAUUAGUUAGUUGGUGAGGUAACGGCUCACCAAGGCGAUGACGGGUAGCCGGUCUGAGAGGAUGUCCGGCCACACUGGAACUGAGACACGGUCCAGACACCUACGGGUGGCAGCAGUCGAGAAUCAUUCACAAUGGGGGAAACCCUGAUGGUGCGACGCCGCGUGGGGGAAUGAAGGUCUUCGGAUUGUAAACCCCUGUCAUGUGGGAGCAAAUUAAAAAGAUAGUACCACAAGAGGAAGAGACGGCUAACUCUGUGACAGCAGCCGCGGUAAG